GAUGAACGCUGGCGGCGUGCCUAAUACAUGCAAGUCGAGCGAACAGACGAGGAGCUUGCUCCUCUGACGUUAGCGGCGGACGGGUGAGUAACACGUGGAUAACCUACCUAUAAGACUGGGAUAACUUCGGGAAACCGGAGCUAAUACCGGAUAAUAUAUUGAACCGCAUGGUUCAAUAGUGAAAGACGGUUUUGCUGUCACUUAUAGAUGGAUCCGCGUCGCAUUAGCUAGUUGGUAAGGUAACGGCUUACCAAGGCAACGAUGCGUAGCCGACCUGAGAGGGUGAUCGGCCACACUGGAACUGAGACACGGUCCAGACUCCUACGGGAGGCAGCAGUAGGGAACCUUCCGCAAUGGGCGAAAGCCUGACGGAGCAACGCCGCGUGAGUGAUGAAGGUCCUCGGAUCGUAAAACUCUGUUAUUAGGGAAGAACAAAUGUGUAAGUAACUAUGCACGUCUUGACGGUACCUAAUCAGAAAGCCACGGCUAACUACGUG
rnacentral:rRNA from 1 species